GGAAAUAUAGCUUAGUUGUUAAAGUGCUUGCCUCACAUGCACAAGGCCCUGGGUUCAAUCCCCAGCACCACCA
rnacentral:tRNA from 1 species